GUAAGUAGAAUUAUGGGAAGGCCCUAAGGAGCAACGAGUGGGACAUCUCAGUCUACAAAUGGGGAAACUGAAGCAAAUCCUGGGGCUGGCUUCACCAGGCAGUUAGCAGGGCCGGCCCCACACCUCCCACUUCCUGAAACCUCAGGCCACUGCUCUCUCCUUGCUUGACACCACACCACCCUCACAGAAGGAGGAGAAGGUGGCAUUGUCUUAUGGAACAAUGGAAUUAGAAUUCUUAUCAAAAGACUGAAUGAAGUUUUCCACUUUGGAAAUGGGUAAAACAGCCCGUGGCUCUGACAACCUUUCUGUUUCUUGGAGUCCUCAGGGUAACGGCACAGACAGGCUGGCCCUUGCUGGGGCCAACUUUGGAGUAGCCUCUAUGGGAAGCCUUUUGAGCCAAAAUAGAUUUCCCUCGAUUAGCACACAUGCCCCCAUGACAGACAGGAGGCGACCCGCCAGCCUCCGGAGCAGAGCAGGAGGCCCCUGGAUUGAGACAUCAAUAUCUGGCUUUGAGUGGCACAAAGGGAUAAAGGAAUGUGGAUUCAGAGCGGGCUGGGAUGCUUGGCAAUUCUAAUUCGAUUCCAGACUGCAAAUGGACACAAAGCUGUUGCAACUUUUGUUGAAGAGAAGGCUGAGUGAGCACGUGGUGUUGGGAAAUUGUGUUUUCUUCUUCGAGUUCUUCUGUUUCCGAAUAUCUAAUCCUACUGUCCUCUUCUUUGGUGAAGGUCUCUUUAGUAUAAAGAGUCUCUUUCCUGAAAUUGCUUGGGGCAGCACAGAAGCUGGAUUCAGAAAACACACAAGUCGGGGAUGCAGGCUUCCGCCAAGCCUGACGCAGGGAAAGACUGCCAUCUUGUGGUCAUCUUGGAACACAGCACCUCGGUUCCGGGCGAAGCUGCCGAGAGCCAGGACUUGAGAAAUGAGCCUCGGAGCUGCAUUUCUGCAGGACAGUGAGGAUACCUUUUAAAAACACCCAGGAAAUAGUUGAGUGCCCUCCAAGAUAGGUUUCAGUGAAUCUUCAUGUAUGCUGUCAUUCCCUGAGCCAGACACUGCAGGCCCACAACACCUGCUGCGUGAAAAUGGGGUAGAAAUGUGGAGAAAACAUAAUCCCCCAGUGAAAAUAAAGAAACAAACACAUAUUUACCGAAUGCCUGCUGUGUGCCUGGCAGAGCUGCUGCGGAACACCCAGGCGGAGCAAAGGAAACAGUGAAUUGUGUCAAAGGUCAUCAAAUGUCAGUAUUGGGGCAGGGGUGGUGCGAGAAGUGUCCCGGCGUUCCUCAUCUAGCAGGACAUCUGGCCGGAUGCUCAGAUAAAGCCACGCCUGAGCAGAGAGACCCACGGAUCCGUGAUUUGUUUAUCUUCUCCAAAUAAAAACCUGAUUGUAAAAACAUUUAUACAUGUGUUGCAAAAAAAUAAAAUCAAACCGCAUAGAAAUGCACAAAGAGGAAAGUAAAAGGCUGGAAAGUAAGGCUGGAACCCCUCCCCGCCCCUUACUUACCCACUGUUAACACUUAGGUGGCCGUCCUGGUGAGCAUCUUGCUACGAAGGUAACCAAGUGGAAAUGCAAAACAUACGUUUACAAAAGUGAUAUUCGAACUUGCAUUCUAUUCGGUAAUCUGCUCUUUGAUUCAACACCAUGUCACAGGCUUCUUUCCAGGCGUGCAAUACAGUGAUUCAACAGUUCUGUAAGUUUCUCAGUGCUCAUCAAGGUAACUGUACUAUUAAUCUUUUUCUCCUAUGGCACCCACCCCAC